CUGAGGGCUUGAUUGUGCUGGGAUGGUGCAACAUUUGAUGGCAUGGGCUUAAGCUACGAGCUGGUCAUCAAAGACAAAGACUUAUGGGGCUAAGAAUUGGCAUUGAGUUUGGGCAUGACAUAGGCAGCAGUCUAGCGUGCUAGUGUGUGGCAUGGUUUGGUUGCUCAGCAUGUACAGUUGGGGCGCAACAGAGCUUGUAGCAGGUUUUAGCGAUGGGCAGUGUGCGACAACAUGGGGCACUGUGCGACAUUAUGCGACGUUGGGCUGGGCAACGUGGUUCAUUGGGCUUGAUUACGUGUGAUGACUAAGGUGUUAUGUUUGUAUAUAGCGCGAUCAUGCAAUCAAAUUACAUAAAAAGUGUGAAAGUGCGAUAAAAUAAAAUUUAAAAUUUUUAUACAAACUCAUCACCGUGAUCAUACUUUGUGUAUAAUUAUCAAUCAAUAGAAAAGAGAUGGAAAUCAUAUUCAUAUCCUUGUAGAAACUAGUUUCCUCGUGUACGAGUUCACCUCCGAUUCCUUUUCAUGUUCAACUUGAAUCCACCGGGUUUGAUUCCUUCCUUUGAUCAACAUUAGUCAUCCAAGUGUUUGGCCUUUAGAGGUGAUCCACUAAAAAAGAAGUAUUCAAGAAAAUGGGUGUUUGACAAAUUCCUAGAUUAUAUCCCUAUAGAAUUAUGUAACUCUCCCAACUCUUGGAAUUGUUAUUCGCGUGUUUUUUAAAACAUCAACCCACCCCAUAAUAAGACUUCUCUUAUUUAUAGAUGUAGGCAACCCUACUUAACAAUUAAGAAAUUGAGUUUUAUUUUAAUUAAUAAAACUCCGUUAAUUAAUUAAUUAGGCUCUCAAUCUUAUUAGGAAUAAUUAAUUAAACUAUUUUAAUUAAUUAGCCUCCUAAUCUUAUUAUGAAUAUAUAUAUAUGAGAGUACUUUUAUUAAUUAAUUCUCAAACUCCUUUAAGAAUUAAAUAAUAAUAAUAAGACCCCUCUUAUUAAUUUAUAUUUAAUAUUUCCAAAAUAUUAAUAUUAAAUACUUUGACAGGUCCCUUAAAAUCCUUAGGGUAUAUCAAAUGGUAUGCUUGAGUAUAAUAAGUUAUACAUGGAGAUAAUGAAUGAUCAACAAAGAAUCUAUCGCUUCUAGUAAAAGAAGGGAAUGUCAUAUUUGAUUCGAUAAAUGACAAUCAGUAGUCCUUGUCCAAGACAUAAUGAAAUUAGAAAUGAGUUUCUAAUUUGCAUUAUUUGAAGUUAUGCAUUUAAGAAUCGAAAUACAUAUAAUUAAAUAAAAUAAGACUUGACAGUAAUUCCAUGUCUUAUAUUUAAUUUGGACAUUGUAUAGUGGAAUGAUUGAAUUGUACUGUAACUAUUUAUUCAAAG
rnacentral:lncRNA from 1 species